rnacentral:rRNA from 1 species
UGAGAUGUUGGGUUAAGUCCCGCAACGAGCGCAACCCUCAUCCUUAGUUACCAUCAGGUAAUGCUGGGGACUUUAAGGAAACUGCCAGUGAUAAACUGGAGGAAGGUGGGGAUGAUGUCAAGUCAUCAUGGCCCUUAUGGAGUGGGCUACACACGUGCUACAAUGGUGGCUACAAUGGGCUGCAAAGUCGCGAGGCUAAGCUAAUCCCUUAAAAGCCAUCUCAGUUCGGAUUGUACUCUGCAACUCGAGUGCAUGAAGUUGGAAUCGCUAGUAAUCGUGGAUCAGCACGCCACGGUGAAUACGUUCUCGGGUCUUGUACACACUGCCCGUCACGCCAUGGGAAUUGGUU